UCGGCUUGUGUGAUGAUUUACUUCAUAGCAUAGUUCAUCUGAUUUCAUGAUGACAAUUUGUAUUGAAAUUAGUCUUUCGCUCCCAUCUGACCUGCCUC
rfam:Valsa mali var. pyri strain SXYL134 unplaced genomic scaffold scaffold00001, whole genome shotgun sequence.